UGGUAAUUUUCUAUCCUUACAGUUUCUGGCAAUGAGGAUGGCACUCUAACAGGCUAGACACUCCACUCACUCCAGCCUAUGGAUGAGAUGCCGAGAGGCCUGACAAAAGUCUGCAAAACGUGGGGAUUCUUUCCAAAGCCAGCUUUCCCAAAUAUCUAUGGGUAGUGCCUGGCUAAGAGAAGAGGAGCUCUGUAGCCAGUGAGGAUAUCUUCUCUGGUCUCCACCAGCCGGGCCGUGGAGAGAUUGUCAGGUUUGCAUCAGAUGGCUAGCCAGCUGACUGGGAGUCUGAAACACGAAGCGUCUCCUUGUCUCAGAAUGCCAGCUCCCAGGGGAAUUUGUCUCAAUUGUUUCAACCUCCACUACCUUGUUAACAAGGAGGGCCUUUGUUUUAUGUCUUUGGGAGAAAUGUUGGAUCUCGAUGGGGGUACUGCAGUUUUCACACUCUUUUUGUGGAAGCCUCUUGCAUCCAUGGUUAAGCCAUAAAAGGCUACUGGCUUUGAGUCACAAUUGAAGUGGCUAUACCUUUGGAUAUUUGGACUUUUAUAUUUAAAAGUAUUUUUUAGACAGUUCUCAUCCUGACAACUGUCCUAUUGGGACAUGUGAGAUCUGGCUUGAUGGAAGAAAACACACACUUUUAUAAAUUAACUAUUUUCUCAGAAAAACAGAACUAACCUAAAUGUUUUUCGAGUUCAGGUGAUCUGGUAUAAUUUUUGGUAAACAUAGAAGCUAGUUUAAGUUUUUUGGUUCAACUAAAACAGGCAUGUGUGCAGACUUGUCAACACUAAACAUAAUACAGACGUAUCACUUCUAUCUGGAUUUAUUGAGCAAAAGUACUGAACUGGACCUUGAAUUCUUCUUGUUUCCUCCAGUAUCUGGAGAACUAAGAACAAGAACUGCUCUGUUCCUAAAGCCCUAUAAACUGAAACUGGACAACUCGAUGUAAAAUUCUAGGAACAAGUCUCCCUGACUAGUUCCUCUCUGUAGUCGCCUGAUGUGCGAGCUACACAGAGAGUUCACCAAAAUGCCCAUUGAUGGUCUAGUACUUCGAAAUGACCACCAACACCUAGGAAACAGAACAAUGAACUCCAGAAAGACUUAGCCUCAGAGCCACUCCUUCCAAACCUCCAUGUUGCUUAAAUGAAGCUGAAAGAGGUUUUGACAUCAGCUCCUACUUGCUGGUCAUUUCCCUUCAACACGAGACUAGAACGACCAGGAAAGGUCCAUCCCAGCACCGAGGAAUAAUCAAAACCUAACCACAGGAUGAUCCGGUAGUGAUGCUUUCAGAACAAUAACUUGAUUGGAGAAAUGUAAACAUUAUCAAUACCAAAAUAAGUCACUUAUAUUUAACCCUACUAAAACGGAGCUGGGAGGCCGUGAGGGGGGUCACUCAUGCUCUAUACCUAUAAUGAAAAAUACCAUAGAAAUUUUUUUCCAAACCACAGCUUGCUACAUGAGUCACACGACGACAGACAGCAGCACAAGGACAGCUAGGCCACACAAGCACAGCUCGCCACUCACACAAGCACACUUGCCUGACACUGUUUUCACUAAUGAACUGACGUCAACUCCUGCAAUAAGCCCUCGGAACCGAUCAUCUUCUAGUUUCAAAACAACUCGCAUGUACUUCUCUCUUGUGUCUAUAAAGGCUUGCCCUUGCCCAACCUCCUUAGAUGCAUCUAUAGUUCACUACAGCAUGUGGAUCCUAGUUUGAAAUUUCCUGCUAAUUCCCAAAUAAACUCAUUCUUUGGAGA